GAUGAAGAACGUAGCGAAAUGUGAUACUUGGUGUGAAUUGCAGAAUCCCGUGAACCAUCGAGUCUUUGAACGCAAGUUGCGCCCGAAGCCAUUAGGCCGAGGGCACGCCUGCCUGGGCGUCACACGUCGUUGCCCCCCCAUCUACUCCUUCGGGAUUGCGGGGGGCGGAUGAUGGCCUCUCGUGCGCCUCGUCGCGCGGUUGGCCUAAAUGCCAAGUCCUCGGCGACGCACGCCACGACAAUCGGUGGUUGCGAACCCUCGGUUGCCUGUCGUGUGCGGUCGUCGCGCAUCGAGGGCUCGAAAAAAUUGCCGGGCUUCGGCUCGACUUUCAACGCGACCCCAGGUCAGGCGGGGUUACCCGCUGAAUUUAAGCAUAUCAAUAAGCGGAGGA
rnacentral:misc_RNA from 1 species